rnacentral:rRNA from 1 species
CAAUAGCGUAUAUUAAAGUUGUUGCAGUUAAAAAGCUCGUAGUUGGAUCUCUGGUAGGAGCGACCGUGCCGAACUUGAUUGUUCGAGUAUUGUGUUGUCUUCAGCCAUCCUCGUGGAGAACUUUUCUAACAUUAACUUGUUGGGAUUGGGACCCGCGUCGUUUACUGUGAAAAAAUUAGAGUGUUUAAAGCAGGCAUUAGCUUGAAUACAUUAGCAUGGAAUAAUAAGAUAGGACUUUGGUACUAUUUUGUUGGUUUGCAUACCAAAUUAAUGAUCAACAGGAACAGUUUGAGGAUAUUCGUAUGAACAUGUCAGAGGUGAAAUUCUUGGAUUUUGAUCAGACGAACUACUGCGAAAGCAUUUAUCAAGGAUGUUUUCAUUAA